UUAGCUACACAGAAAAAAAUAUGUAAAUAUACACUACAUGUAAACCACGUUUCACAUGUAAAUUCAGCUAAUGGAUUUUUUAAAUGUGAUGUAAACGGUUAAAUCUCAUGGAAAAAGCGAUCAUGUAAUUUAAAAUCGAAUGUAAUUAACGAUUUUGAUGUAAAUCAACUUUGUUUUUGUCAAUCUGAAAUCGCGGAAAUAAUGUAAUUUAUGAAUCUAAUGUAAACUUGCGUCAUGUAUUUUUAAAACAAAUGUAAUUUUCAAUUUCGAACUAAGUUUGCAAUUGACAACUGAACAAAACAAAACAGAUUUCAUUCUUUGGUGGGAAGUGGAGCAAGAAGUUUUCGGAUGAUGCACUUAUUGAACGCAUUUUAAUCGCCUUUUAGUAGGCAACUACGUGCUGCACUUUGUGCGCUGCACCGGUUGAAAAUCAGCGACGGGUGGAUCCCUCGUUUGCGUCAGGUCGGACGUCGGAGAGAAACGUCAAAAAUCAUCAAAAUAAACAAAUCGGAUUUUGGUGGCUGGUGAGUAAAAGUUGCAGGUGCUUGGAGUUUUUAUGCUGGUUUGCCGGAGUUUUUCUACAGGCACGGAAGAUUGCGGAAUUUCGGAAAUUGUGGAAGGUCGUUUGAUGUCAUAGCCGGUGAGUAGUAAUGUUUUGAUGUUUAUCCACUAAUUAAUGGAUUAAAAUAUGAGAAUAGCUCUUUUCUAGAACUGCAUAAGGUGCGGAGCUGGUACGUUUAAGAGGAGAUCAUUCACUAGAGGAACCGACGGGUCACCUUGGCCUCGGAGUAACCGUUGUUGGCCUUCAAGAGCUCCUCAUUAAACGUUUUCUGGUCCACAUUGCGCUUCUCCGCCUUCUCGACGAUGCUGUCCUUCUCGGAGCGGGAGUAUGCUAUCAAGUCUCGUCGCACGGGACAGUUGUCGAGGGACAGACGCGUCGCACGAGACAGUUGUCCUGACAUAGACCGUCAUCCAUACAAUCGUUUUUGAGAUUUCAAAAAGGGAAGAUGAUACACUGAUCAAUGGAACAUUUGACGUGGAAGCUGGACAAGCGUUCUGGGCAAUCGCCAUCCGACAUAUUAUGAAAACUAGAUCGUGGCUUGGAAGUUUUGCCACCAAAUGACCAUGGCUGUACAGCCUAUAACUUGUAAUAGAUAAAUCCGACUAUCUCGACGGUAACGUUUUUCUGCAAACCACAGGUUUCAACCCGAUCAACACGCUCAGUGUGACCUCGAUGUCCUCGGCGGCCCAAAGCGCCGCUCAUCCCGUGCAUCCAAGACUCGAACCAAUUCUAGAAUUGUCGAACUCUACGCGAACCUUCCU